rnacentral:lncRNA from 1 species
GACUUUCAAUACAUUUACAAAUAGACCCUUUUGUUCACAGAAUUGCCAACUCCAAACCUAACAAACUCUCAUUUUGGCAUUCUAUGACAAAACAUUCAAUACAUUAACAAUAACUACACUGACUACCCAAAAUAGCUGACUCACUGACUUUUGCUUCGUCUUCAUUAAAGUUGUUUCUUGAAAUCACAACUCACACACCAAGUGUAAAAGUAUGAGAAACAAUAAUGUAAGUAGAAGCAGUAAAGACAGUCAUCAAUAGACACAAUAUUAUAUGAGAAUAUGAACAAGCUAGAUUAAGAUACAAUAUCAAGAUAAGUCAAAAUACCAAAAAUAUACAUCAAUAUUCUGAGACAUCAAAACUUUUAAUCUAGCACAAGCGUAUGUCAAAUGUCAAACAUCACAUGUCAAAGCUAUACAACUAUUCCUCAUUUUUGUCACAAAUGAUAAGGAAAUCCCUAACAACUAUAGAAUACCGCCAUUUCCAUUGUCCUCCUCAUUAGAAUCAUCAUCAUCGCCAUCAUAGUCAUAGUGCUUGCACAUCUAUUGAAUCCCGUGCUGUACAUAAGCGAUGGCUUCUCGCAAUGUAGCAAACUACACAGUAUAGCUCCUCGAAGCAGCUCGCAACUGAGUAAUCUCGACCAUCAUGCGAGCCUGCUAUUUAAUCAAGAUAGACAUCUGACCCAUAACAGCAACAGAAGGAUCAACAGGAGCUAAGGUUGGACAAAACUCUCAAACUGAAUCGAACAGUUCUUCUUAAGUUAAAUAUCCGAAUGGGUAUCCGAAUCGAAAACAGAUGGGUUCGGUUCGAUUUGGUUUUGAUUCUAAAUUAAGAACCGAAGAACCAAAUGAGAAUCGAGUCUCCCUAAUUUUUUAAUUAAUUUAUUUUAAAUAAGUCAAAUUAUUUUAUUUUUUCUAAAUAAAUUUGAUAACUAGUUAAUUUAGCUCAAACCCAAAAAUAUGAUUUUUCUAUUUUUAAUUUUCAAUUCAAAGCCAACUUGAGGCCGUUUCUAAUUUUUAGUUCAAACCCAAAAAUUAAAUUGAUCUAAGUUUUAUCAAAAUAUGUUACUCUACCAUAGUGACGUUUCUACCGUUCUAGAAAAAUCGAAUUAAGACUAGACAAUACCUCUCUUAAUUAUUGUGAGCUCGAUGUCUUCCUCUUUCUAUGAUUUUAACAAUCAAAUCUAUAAAGAACUCAAAAACGCAAAAGACACAUGAGAUUGGAUUACCUUUUUUGUAAGAGCUAAAAUUGAAUAUAUCAUUAGUUGAAUUAUUGUAACUUUGUAAAUAUUAAAACUUUAUUUAUAAUACGGAACCUGAAAAUCGAAUGGAACCAAAUCGAACCAAAUUAAAUCGAACUGAACCGAACCCGGACAGUUUCAUAAUUAAAUUUUGACCGAAAAGUUCCAUUUACUAAAUACCCAAAAAAAAUUUAUCCUAUUCCGUUCUCGUUAGAAUCGAACCAGACCAUGUCUAGUCCUAACAGAAAUAGUUGUGGGAGCAGGCUGAGUAGGUGGUGGAACAAAAGUAAAGGAUGAUAGAAUAUCAGUAGCUAAAGGAAGAAUAUCAAGGUGGGAUAGAGGAAUGUCUAGGGGAUCACCUAAAAGAGGAUCGCAGGCACAACUGGCUCAGCAAGAGACGAAGAAGAAGGGACAUAUGACCGACUCAGCGAUAAAGUAGUAUGGUGAAUGGGAUGAAGUAUCCAUCGGGAGACCCCAUCAGGAAAUGAAGCCUCGAGAAAUGUCACUAGAUGGCGAAUUAGGUAAGCAUAGGAGAAGACCAAUCCUAUGACCUGGAACCCUAAAGAUACACAAUAUAUGGUGACAAACGAAAGUUUACAGAUCUAUGGAAUCAUUAUGUAAAAGGGCAUAAAUGAAUCUCACAUUCUCCAUAGGCUAUGAAGAAGUAUGAGAAACUGGCCACAUAUUUGUGCACACAAUGAGCAACAAAAUCUAUCAAUCAGUAGGAAGUGAUCCAAUACGAAUCGCAUGCGGUCCACUUCCCAGUGGACUGUUAAAUAAAGUCGACUUAAUAAGAGAAUCAGCCAAGAGAAUGUCGAUCGACAAGUAUGCAAAAAUCGAGUGAAUGAUUCGGGGAACGUGAAUGAUGCUAGAAAUAACAUCAGGAGUGAUCUUAAUCGUCUGACCCCUAAGAAAAACCCCAAACGACGACCCGCUAUUGUCAUGGAUGUUCAUAUAGAACUCCUAGACUAGGAGACUAGGCGGGGAAUUCAGCACUGCGAACAGUGGCUCCAAACCCCUAGAGGUGAAAAUAGCAGUAAGGUCAGGGGAAGAUCUGAAAGAGUGGCCUCACACUCAACAAGAACAGGACGUAAUGAGACUGAGUCCCAAACAUAUUCUGAGUUGUAGAAGAGACAAACCUAGAAUGGCUAUAUGAGGUCUACCCACUAGCAGGCUAUGUAGCAGUCCGUGCUCGCUUAGGUACAAUCUGGAACACAUAAGCAAAAUAAAUAUGUAAAGACUCAUAGGCCAUCUAAAACCUGAUAUGCAUGAAUAUAUGUGAAACCCAGGCAAACAACAUGCAAAAAUGAUGCAAAACUUUGAAAAGCACAUAAAAUGAUACAAAACUAUGCUAAGCAAGCAAAACGAUGUAAAAACAUAUACCUAGCCAAAAACGGACCAAACAAGCAAAAUCAUGCAAACACGUUCCAACGCACACAUAAGAACGUCAAGACAAAUUAAGGUGACAUGAGGUACAACCGAAUGGCAUGCAGUGUAUGGACGCAGGAGCCAUGACAUGAAUUGAUGUGAUGACAAAAUACAGGGACACGGCCUAGACGUAGGUAUCACGACAAUAGGACGAUGGGAACAAAACAACAUGACAUUGCAUCAACAUCAAAACCAACGAAAUGCAAACCAAAAAUGUGACUUAAGCUCUCUGACACAGUCACAACAUCAUGCUAGAAUAAUUUGUGCAAGGGUGUGGCAAACAGUGAUGAAACUCGUGGAUGAAGCAAAUUCUCGAACACGUUGGAUGCAUGUGAAAUUUCAGGCAAACUAGGAAAACCCAAUCCAUUCAAAGCCACACCACAUAGACCAAUCAACAAUUUAAUAAUCUCGCAUCUAAACCUAACCCAUUCUCCUUCAAUAAUGUGAGGAAAAAAGGAAAAAAAUUCACAACUAAUAGCAAAAGCGAGAAACACAUGCGAGUGAAAAAACCCAAAUGAUACGAAUGAGUGAUAAGGAGGAAUCAAAAAUUGUGAAAUGCACAACACAAGUACACAAUUAUGCAAAUGAAAUGAAUGAAUUAAAUCAAAACCAAGUUACAAAUUAAAAUUCCCAAAUAGGAUGGAAAGUAGGGUUCGCAAGUAACUUACGGUGAUUAAGACAAAAAUGUGAGUAACCCAUGGAAUUAGGCUUUAGGAAGGAGUUUCUCAUAUCAAUUGAUGCAAGAAUCCACCAAAAAUGCCUUGGGUGAGAAGAAGUGCGAGAGAAAAUGGAAGAGAUUCGAAAAAAAAUGAGUUUUCAAUGUUCUAUGAGAAUUCAAAUAGACGGAUCGUCACUCAAGUGAUAAUUGAGUGUUAAACGAGUGACACUGGUUCUGCAUUGAACUCUCGAACGAUGGUCCAGAGUCAAGUUGGAGAGACCCAAUUGACAUAAAUAGCAC